rnacentral:rRNA from 1 species
CCUACGGGUGGCACCAGUGGGGAAUAUUGGACAAUGGGCGAAAGCCUGAUCCAGCAAUGCCGCGUGUGUGAAGAAGGUCUUUGGAUUGUAAAGCACUUUCGACGGGGACGAUGAUGACGGUACCCGUAGAAGAAGCCCCGGCUAACUUCGUGCCAGCAGCCGCGGUAAUACGAAGGGGGCUAGCGUUGCUCGGGAUGACUGGGCGUAAAGGGCGCGUAGGCGGUUUAUGCGGUCAGAUGUGGAAUCCCCGGGCUUAACCUGGGAACUGCAUUUGAGACGCAUAGACUAGAGGUCGAGAGAGGGUUGUGGAAUUCCCAGUGUAGAGGUGAAAUUCGUAGAUAUUGGGAAGAACACCGGUGGCGAAGGCGGCAACCUGGCUCGAUACUGACGCUGAGGCGCGAAAGCUAGGGGAGCGAAUGGGAUUAGAUACCCGCGUAGUC